UACGAAGGGGGCUAGCGUUGCUCGGAAUUACUGGGCGUAAAGCGCACGUAGGCGGUCUUUUAAGUCGGAGGUGAAAUCCUGGAGCUCAACUCCAGAACUGCCUUCGAUACUGGAAGACUUGAGUCCGGGAGAGGUGAGUGGAACUGCGAGUGUAGAGGUGAAAUUCGUAGAUAUUCGCAAGAACACCAGUGGCGAAGGCGGCUCACUGGCCCGGUACUGACGCUGAGGUGCGAAAGCGUGGGGAGCAAACAGGG
rnacentral:rRNA from 1 species